rnacentral:rRNA from 1 species
UACAGAGGAGGCAAGCGUUGUUCGGAAUUACUGGGCGUAAAGGGCGCGUAGGCGGCCUUCUAAGUCGGACGUGAAAUCCCCAGGCUUAACUUGGGAACUGCGUCCGAUACUGGAAGGCUCGAGUGCGGGAGAGGGAUGUGGAAUUCCAGGUGUAGCGGUGAAAUGCGUAGAUAUCUGGAGGAACACCGGUGGCGAAGGCGGCAUCCUGGACCGACACUGACGCUGAGGCGCGAAAGCCAGGGGAGCAAACGGG